UUUUCUGUCCACAGUGAACACCUGGAAAUGUGGCAAGAGCCUCGUUCACAUUUUUACAGAGGGCAUUGACAGCACUGAGAGUCGCCACAAAGAAGGUUUCUUCAGGUUGGCAUUGCCCCCAGUAUUGACUUGUGUUGCCAUCACAUCAUCGCAUUGCUGUUUGUUCAUGGCAUCGAUGCGUCUGAGUCCAACAGUCUGACUGUCGAUAGACUUGGUUGUCUGAAGCACGGACUGCUGAAGAUCUUGAUGGAGCAAAGUCUCUGAAGCUGAACUCCAAGUGGUCUGGGCUUGUUAUAUAGCAUACAGGAAUUCAUGCUGGUGACGACGUGCUUCUGGAAGACCUCGGCUGCAUCGAGAGCGAGGAUCAGGACGGCCACAGCCGUCAUGGCUUCCUGUGGAGGGAAAAACAAUCCAAAUGCCUUCAGCUCAAGCGAUGCGACCACACAAAUAUUUUCUUUUUUACUCGCCUGCUUAGAUGCGUGGUUGGGUUUGAAAGGUCUUGAUUUAGUCAUUAUUUUCAGCAUCAACGUUCACAAUAUUUUUUCUUGCUGUGACAUCUUGGUCUGAUUUUCUUCUCUCUCUUUUUGCAGGUGUAGAAGCAGAUUUCUCGGGUUUUGAUCUGUUGAACCACAUUUCAGAAACGACGUCUGUUUUUGACAGUUUAACUUUCAGUAAAUAAUUUUGCCAGUGUUGAGUUAUUUAAGUGUUCGCUGAGGGUUUUAUUCAAUAACAGAAAG